rnacentral:rRNA from 1 species
GAGUUUGAUUCUGGCUCAGGAUGAACGCUAGCGAUAGGCUUAACACAUGCAAGUCGAGGGGCAGCGAGGGUAGCAAUACCUGUCGGCGACCGGCGCACGGGUGAGUAACGCGUAUGUAACCUGCCCGCAACAGGGGGAUAACCCGGCGAAAGUCGGACUAAUACCGCAUAAAACAGGGGUCCCGCAUGGGAAUAUUUGUUAAAGAUUUAUCGGUUGCGGAUGGGCAUGCGUACCAUUAGGUAGUUGGUGAGGUAACGGCUCACCAAGCCUUCGAUGGUUAGGGGUUCUGAGAGGAAGGUCCCCCACACUGGUACUGAGACACGGACCAGACUCCUACGGGAGGCAGCAGUGAGGAAUAUUGGUCAAUGGGCGAGAGCCUGAACCAGCCAAGUCGCGUGAAGGAUGACUGCCCUAUGGGUUGUAAACUUCUUUUACAAGGGAAUAAAAUGAGAUACG